rnacentral:rRNA from 1 species
UACGUAGGGCGCAAGCGUUAUCCGGAAUUAUUGGGCGUAAAGAGCUCGUAGGCGGUUUGUCGCGUCUGCCGUGAAAGUCCGGGGCUCAACUCCGGAUCUGCGGUGGGUACGGGCAGACUAGAGUGAUGUAGGGGAGACUGGAAUUCCUGGUGUAGCGGUGAAAUGCGCAGAUAUCUGGAGGAAUACCGGUGGCGAAGGCGGCAUCCUGGACCGAGAUUGACACUGAUGAGCGAAAGCUAGGGGAGCAAACGGG